UAUAAAAUAAAUACCUAUUUAUAAACGUUUCCUGAUAUCUUUUUUUGUGUUGAUAAACACACAAUUAUUUUAAUGACUGAAAGAUUAUUCUCUUUUUUUUUCAGUUCCCAAGCCCUCACUAUUUGCGUUUCUUGUAACGUUCCGGACAAACGUGUUUUAUGAUUUCGUUCCUUGAAUUUCCGUCCCGUAACUCCCGUACAAAUAUCGUUUCAAGUUCCAAGUGGAACGCAGAGUGGAACGUGUUACUUUUGUGGCGAGGAGCGCUACACUCCGCUACUCGAUAGUAGCGCUACAAUGGAACGGUUCCUAAAGUAACGACCCAUCUCUAAAUUCCAUUUGGCCAUUUGGGUCACAACCACCGAACCUUUCUCGUGAAUCCGUAACUCACUUCAUUUUUAAUGCAGUUUUGUGAAAAUUGUGUGGGUUGAAUUUACACUAGACAAGCUGGAAAUACCACCAUUAAUCACUGAAGAUACUCCCGCUGAUUUUGAAGAACUUACGGUGAUUGUUUUUGAAAGUGAGGCGCUUUGCCAUAACAUGUUGCAAAGACUUGAAACAAAUACAAAAAAUAUGUGCCAAACAAAAGAAAUUUUAAAGGAAACGAGUGAACAAAUCUCCAAUAUGAAAACGUCAUCAAAUGUGACAAAUCAAAAAGAAAACAGUAAUAGAAGAUAUGCCGCCAAGACCACAGAUAAACAAAUUUUGAGGAAUUAGAAGAUUAUCUCUGCCUACUACAACAACCAGGUUUCUUUGAACUGCUAUUGUCCCAGAUAGGUGGUAAUGGGAAAAAGAACAAUGUGGGGCGUGUAUUAAAAAAUAUAUUUUUCACCGAAUUUGCUGUAGCUUGUUUGUUCGGUAGGAAAAUUCCAAAAUGGCUGGGACAAAAACAAUGAAUAUUAUGAAAGAAAUUACAAUGAAGACCCAUUCCGCAAUAGAAAAAGAAGUAGAACAACGCUGCUCAGAGUGGCUACGGCAUUCUAGUCAACGCCUGAAGAAAGGAAAAA